rnacentral:snoRNA from 1 species
UCUCGAUGAUGAGCAAAUAUGAUGACGAGUCCGAUCUUGUUUCCAUUCUAUUUCUAAGUGACGACAAAUCGAGGCAUUUGUCUGAGAGAA